UGACAGUCCGGCUUGAUGAAGUCGAGGACGAAAUGUCGUCGGCAAUGUUCCAUCAUAAACUGAUGCAUUGUGCCAACCUGUUCACUGAUAAUUCGUUUAUCGGGAAAAUGUGAAUAUCUUUCGUGUACCGGAAAAUCCAUUUGCCUGUAACACCACUGAUCUUGCCAAGAGGAAUGUUGUCAACGUCAUCAUGUAUAUGUGGGAAAAUACUCCUCCGCCUCCUGCAGCAUAACUCAGCAGUUUCCACGGAAACAGUAUACCGUACAACUCAAG
rnacentral:misc_RNA from 1 species